rnacentral:rRNA from 1 species
GUAGGUGGCAAGCGUUGUCCGGAAUUAUUGGGCGUAAAGCGCGCGCAGGCGGUUCUUUAAGUCUGAUGUGAAAGCCCACGGCUCAACCGUGGAGGGUCAUUGGAAACUGGAGAACUUGAGUACAGAAGAGGAAAGCGGAAUUCCACGUGUAGCGGUGAAAUGCGUAGAGACGUGGAGGAACACCAGUGGCGAAGGCGGCUUUCUGGUCUGUAACUGACGCUGAGGCGCGAAAGCGUGGGGAGCAAACAGGGAUUAGAUACCCUGGUAGUCCACGCCGUAAACGAUGAGUGCUAAGUGUUAGGGGGGUUUCCGCCCCCUUAGUGCUGCAGCUAACGCAUUAAGCACUCCGCCUGGGGAUACGGCCGCAAGGCUG